UACAGAGGGUGCAAACGUUGCUCGGAAUCACUGGGCGUAAAGCGCGCGUAGGCGGCCCUGUAAGUCCGUUGUGAAAGUCAAAGGCUCAACCUUUGAAAGCCGAUGGAUACUGCAGGGCUAGAGUCCGGAAGAGGCGAGUGGAAUUCCUGGUGUAGCGGUGGAAUGCGCAGAUAUCAGGAGGAACACCAAUAGCGAAGGCAGCUCGCUGGGACGGUACUGACGCUAAGGCGCGAAAGCGUGGGGAGCGAACAGG
rnacentral:rRNA from 1 species